rnacentral:lncRNA from 1 species
GCUACGUAUAGAAAAGCCACAGGGGACUGUGCAGUGCCCCAGAGGAAGUAAUAGAGGGUGGAAGGGUGUGUUUCAGGGCCUGGAAGGAUGAAAAGAGGAGUGGUUACUGGGACUCAGAGACAGAAUUAGGUAGCAAGAGUAACCUGAUCAGAGCAGGAUGCUUCCUAUUGAGAAUCAGCCAGAACUCUGCAGGGAGGGAGGCCACGGGUACAUUGACCCGUCUGUCCCCUACUCCCUCCCAUUUUAUGGUAGUGUUCCACAUUGGCUGGACCCAACUGGGAGCCAAAAGGCCUUUUGAUGCCAUCUGUACAGCAUGAGCUGCUGGGCUUCCUGCUGAGCUCCCAGAAGCUGCAACUCUUUCAGUGUGUGCCACUCUGGUCAUUGUCUGCAAGGUUUUUAGAUAACUCAACUAACUGCCAAUCAGAAAAUCUUUAAAACUACCUAUGACCUGGAAGCCCCUGCUUCGAGUUGUCCUGCCUUUCCAGUCCAAACCAACGUACAUCUUAACAUGUAUUGAUUGAUGUCUUAUGUCUCCCUAAAAUGUAUAAAACCAAGCUGUACCCCAGUGACCUUGGGCACAUGUCAGGACCUCCUGAGGCUGAGUCACGGGUGCAUCCUUAACCUUGGCAAAAUAAACUAAAUUGGUUGAGACUUGUCUCAGACAAUUUUUCGUUCACAGUACAAUGUGGCUUUUAAUAUUAUAAAAUGUCCUUCUUUGUCUCAUUGAAUGCUUUUUGGCUUGAAGUCUACUUUGGUAACAGCACUGUGUCCUCUGCUUUCUUUUACUUGGUACAUUUUUUUCCUACCUCUUUACUCUUAGCCUCUUUGAAUUAUUCAUUUUAAGUGUAUCUCUUAUAUAUAGCAUAGAGUUAGGUUUUGUUUUGUAUACCAACUUUUAAAUCAUUUUUAUUAAUAGAUAACUUAAGCAUAUUCACAUUUUUUGAUAUUAUUAUAAUGCUUAAUCUCAAUUCCACACUUUUAUUUUACUUUAUUUUAUUUUAUUUUUGAGACAGAGUCUUGCUCUGUUUCUCGGGCUGGAGUACAGUGGCGCCAUCUCAGCUCACUGCAACCUCUGCCUCCCGGGUGAUUCUCUUGCCUCUCAGCCUCCUGAGUAGCUGGGAUUACAGGUGCAUGCCACCACGACUGGCUAAUUUUUGCAUUUUUAGUAGAGAUAGGGUUUCACCCUGUUGGCCAGGCUGGUCUUGAACACCUGACCUCAGGUGAUCCACCCGCCUCAGGCUCCCAAAGUGCUGGGAUUCCAGGCAUGAGCCACCGCACCCGGCCCACCCUACUAUUUUACAGUGAGAUUACCAUGUGCACUAUCCUAAAUUUACUAGCUUUUCCCCUUCUCUAUUUGGUAUACCCUCUUUGACUUUUAAAUUUUUAUUUUGGCAUUUAGGAAAAUUUAAAUUUUUAUUCUAAGUAGUUACCUUUGUAUUAAUACAUUUUUUUAUGUUCAGUACCCUUUAUUUUUACUUGUUUUACCAUCUGUCAGUUUUAAGUGGUGCCCUUUGACUCCCAUCUAUUAUCUAUACACAACAGGUAAUGAUUUGAUUCUAUUUUCCAUUUUAUCCCUUUUGUUUUGUUUCUCUUUAUAAAGUCUUAAUUUUUUUUGAGACAGGGUCUCACUCCAUUGCCUAGGCUGGAGUGCAGUGGCGCAAUCAUGGCUCACUGCAGCCUUGACCACCCCAGGCUCAGGUGAUCCUCCUACCUCAGCCUCUCAUGUAGCUGGGAUUACAGGCACAUGCCAUCUGCCUUGCUAAUUUUUUAUCUUUGUAGAGAUGGGGUUUCAUCAUGUUGCCAAGGCUGGUUUCAAACUCCUGAGCUCAAGCAACCUGCCUGCCUUAGCCUCCCAAAGUGCUUGGAUUACAGGUGUGAGUCACCGCACUUGGCCUGAUUACAGGGGUGAGUCACCACACCUGGCUGGCUUUGCCCCUUUUAGUCCCACUUUUCAAUUGCACUCUUUUGACUUGUCAGAAUAUACAAUAUUUACAUAUUAUUACUUGCCCAUAACCCACUCUUGUUUUGUUCUUACCUCUACAAUUGACGAUACAAAAUGCCCACUGCCAGUCCUUUUGAAAGGUUUGCCUGUAAUUUUGGUUUGAUGAAGCCUGUCCUCUACUAAAUGUCUUAGAAAGGGCUCAUGUGUAUAGUAUUUCCUUCAUUAUGUCACAUUCAGAACUG